AUGGUGUCCCCAGGGCUGAGCACUGCCCCAGGCCCUGCCUCAUCCCUCAGCACCAUCCCUGCACUGAUGAGACUCUGGUUUAGCCAAGGCCUUCGUUCCUGGCAUGGAGAGUUUGUUUCCAGCUGCGUUUCCGGGGGUGCUGUGGGAAGGGUUCCGUGGAGCGAGACAAGGUGUCCUCGGGAGCAGGGUUCCACAGGGAAGCGUUUGGGAGCCCUGUGUCACACGGGGCAGGCGGAUUUCACUUCCAGCGUCUCUGUUCUUAAUGCAUCAGGAUGCUUCUGGGACGGGUGUGGGCCUCACACUGCAUCCACAGGGCUCUAUGUGACAAGUGCCCAGGAACAGUCUGAGACACCACCCGGCAGGCCCGCCUUGUCCCCAUUCAGCUCACCCAGAACCUUCACCAGCAAACUUCCCACUGAGGUCCCAGUAGGAGCCGUCAUCUUCUGCUACCGUUCCCUUUUUCAUUUGUGAGGGUCACAGACCCCAACAGGGAGAUCAGUCCCUGUCUUCCCAGGGGUUGCCCUGCUCGCCGGGCACUCCUCAGGGUCCCGCCCUCGUCUGAGGGAUCCUCCAGCGAUGGGGGCCAGGGCCUGGGGCUGAUGGCGGAUGGCAGAGUGCAAGGCUGAAAAGGAUUCCAGGGAGACCUUCGGGUUCAAGUCAGAUGGACCUACCAGAAUCUACAGUCAAAAUGUUGGCUUUUUCUUGUUUUUUAAUCUAUGGGAGAAAAAUGUAAAAUUCCAGUUCUUUUCUAAUUGUGUUUCUGAAAUUUGGAGUCAGCUGCCAGAGUUUUUGUUUGGCUACACUGUGCCUGGGCCCAGCUCAUGGGCAGUGGGUGGGCCUAACUCCCCAGGCAGGUAGGAGCUGCUUCCAGAACCUUCCAGUGCACAGGAGGGCGAGGCUAGGCAUGGCGGUUUCCUCUUUGAAAUUAAGUACAACCUUUCUUGUAGCAAAGCUGCACCCAAUGAUGGUGCCCUCCCCGUGUUGUCUGGGCCCCUAUUUACAAGCAUGCCUUGCCCUUCCUGGGGGGAGCCACACUCUAGCCCCUGGGGGGCCUGUUGCAGGGGCGGGGUGGGCCCAUUGCCCUUGGUGCCUCCUGGAGAGCUGCUGACAUACUGUCCCCUCACUUGGUUCGUGCUGCAAUAAAGGCCAUCUCUCUUU